rnacentral:tRNA from 1 species
GCCGGUGUGGUUUAGCAGUUAGAACGCCUGACUCAUAAUCAGGAGGUCGGCGGUGCGAAUCCGCCCACCGGCA